UACGUAGGGAGCGAGCGUUAUCCGGAUUCAUUGGGCGUAAAGCGCGCGUAGGCGGCCCGUCAAGCGGGGUUUCAAAUCCAGGGGCUCAACCUCUGGCCGGACCCCGAACUGGCGGGCUCGAGUGCGGUAGAGGAAGGUGGAAUUCCCAGUGUAGCGGUGAAAUGCGCAGAUAUUGGGAAGAACACCGAUGGCGAAGGCAGCCUUCUGGGCCGCCACUGACGCUGAGGCGCGAAAGCUAGGGGAGCGAACAGG
rnacentral:rRNA from 2 species